rnacentral:rRNA from 1 species
GACGAACGCUGGCGGCGUGCUUUACACAUGCAAGUCGAACGGAAGGGCCCGGCUUUUUGGGGGUGCGCGAGGGGCGAACGGGUGAGUAACACGUGAGUAACCUGCCCUGGACGUUGAGAUAACGUCAGGAAACUUGGGCUAAUAUCGGAUAGGAGCUCCUGCUGGAGGGUGGUGGGUGGAAAGUGUCUGCGGUUGGGGAUGGACUCGCGGCUUAUCAGCUUGUUGGUCGGGUAGUGGCUUACCAAGGCUGGGACGGGUAGCCGGCACGAGAGGGUGAACGGCGACAAUGGGACUGCGAUACGGAGCAGUGUGGUACGGUAGGCAGUAGGGGGGAACAUUAUCCAACGGGGCCACGCCUGAUGCAGCAGCGUCGGGUGCGGGAUGAUGGUCUUUGGGUUAUGAAACGCUUUAGCAUGUUACGAACCGUGAAUGACGGUAACGGGUAAAGAAGCACCGGCUAACUACGUG